rnacentral:rRNA from 1 species
UACGUAGGGGGCUAGCGUUGUCCGGAAUCAUUGGGCGUAAAGCGCGUGUAGGCGGCCCGGUAAGUCCGCUGUGAAAGUCGGGGGCUCAACCCUCGAAUGCCGGUGGAUACUGUCGGGCUUGAGUACGGAAGAGGCGAGUGGAAUUCCUGGUGUAGCGGUGAAAUGCGCAGAUAUCAGGAGGAACACCAAUUGCGAAGGCAGCUCGCUGGGACGUUACUGACGCUGAGACGCGAAAGCGUGGGGAGCAAACAGG